GCAAACUUGGUCAUUUAGAGGAAGUAAAAGUCGUAACAAGGUUUCCGUAGGUGAACCUGCGGAAGGAUCAUUACCAGGGUUCUUUCCAAACCCCAACUCAUCCACCCGUGUGCACCAAAUCGAAAGGGAAAAAAAGGUCCCCGGCGGGAUUUUUUUUUUUUCUUUCGCUUUCAAUUAUCGACUGAACGUUUGUCUGAAAUCUUUUUUGUAAAAAAAAAACCCUAAUACAACUUUCAACAACGGAUCUCUUGGCUCUCGCAUCGAUGAAGAACGCAGC
rnacentral:misc_RNA from 1 species